rnacentral:rRNA from 1 species
AAAUUGAAGAGUUUGAUCAUGGCUCAGAUUGAACGCUGGCGGCAGGCCUAACACAUGCAAGUCGAGCGGUAGCACAGAGAGCUUGCUCUCGGGUGACGAGCGGCGGACGGGUGAGUAAUGUCUGGGAAACUGCCUGAUGGAGGGGAUAACUACUGGAAACGGUAGCUAAUACCGCAUAAUGUCGCAAGACCAAAGUGGGGACCUUCGGGCCUCAUGCCAUCAGAUGUGCCCAGAUGGGAUUAGCUAGUAGGUGGGGUAACGGCUCACCUAGGCGACGAUCCUAGCUGGUCUGAGAGGAUGACCAGCCACACUGGAACUGAGACACGGUCCAGACUCCUACGGGAGGCAGCAGUGGGGAAUAUUGCACAAUGGGCGCAAGCCUGAUGCAGCCAUGCCGCGUGUGUGAAGAAGGCCUUCGGGUUGUAAAGCACUUUCAGCGGGGAGGAAGGCGUUAAGGUUAAUAACCUUGGCGAUUGACGUUACCCGCAGAAGAAGCACCGGCUAACUCCGUGCCAGCAGCCGCGGUAAUACGGAGGGUGCAAGCGUUAAUCGGAAUUACUGGGCGUAAAGCGCACGCAGGCGGUCUGUCAAGUCGGAUGUGAAAUCCCCGGGCUCAACCUGGGAACUGCAUUCGAAACUGGCAGGCUAGAGUCUUGUAGAGGGGGUAGAAUUCCGGUGUAGCGGUGAAAUGCGUAGAGAUCUGGAGGAAUACCGGUGGCGAAGGCGGCCCCUGGACAAAGACUGACGCUCAGGUGCGAAAGCGUGGGGAGCAAACAGGAUUAGAUACCCUGGUAGUCCACGCCGUAAACGAUGUCGAUUUGGAGGUUGUGCCCUUGAGGCGUGGCUUCCGGAGCUAACGCGUUAAAUCGACCGCCUGGGGAGUACGGCCGCAAGGUUAAAACUCAAAUGAAUUGACGGGGCCCGCACAAGCGGUGGAGCAUGUGGUUUAAUUCGAUGCAACGCGAAGAACCUUACCUGGUCUUGACAUCCACAGAACUUUCCAGAGAUGGAUUGGUGCCUUCGGGAACUGUGAGACAGGUGCUGCAUGGCUGUCGUCAGCUCGUGUUGUGAAAUGUUGGGUUAAGUCCCGCAACGAGCGCAACCCUUAUCCUUUGUUGCCAGCGGUUCGGCCGGGAACUCAAAGGAGACUGCCAGUGAUAAACUGGAGGAAGGUGGGGAUGACGUCAAGUCAUCAUGGCCCUUACGACCAGGGCUACACACGUGCUACAAUGGCAUAUACAAAGAGAAGCGACCUCGCGAGAGCAAGCGGACCUCAUAAAGUAUGUCGUAGUCCGGAUUGGAGUCUGCAACUCGACUCCAUGAAGUCGGAAUCGCUAGUAAUCGUAGAUCAGAAUGCUACGGUGAAUACGUUCCCGGGCCUUGUACACACCGCCCGUCACACCAUGGGAGUGGGUUGCAAAAGAAGUAGGUAGCUUAACCUUCGGGAGGGCGCUUACCACUUUGUGAUUCAUGACUGGGGUGAAGUCGUAACAAGGUAACCGUAGGGGAACCUGCGGUUGGAUCACCUCCUUA